UACGGGGGGGGCAAGCGUUGUUCGGAAUUACUGGGCGUAAAGGGCGUGUAGGCGGCCAACUAAGUCCGACGUGAAAUCCCCAGGCUUAACCUGGGAACUGCGUCGGAUACUGGAUGGCUUGAAUCCGGGAGAGGGAUGCGGAAUUCCAGGUGUAGCGGUGAAAUGCGUAGAUAUCUGGAGGAACACCGGUGGCGAAGGCGGCAUCCUGGCCGAACACUGACGCUGAGGAGCGAAAGCCAGGGGAGCAAAACGGGAUUGAGAA
rnacentral:rRNA from 1 species